GGGAGGGUGGCUUAGUGGUAGAGCGCUUGCCUUGCAUGCAUGAGGCCCUGGGUUCGAUUCCUCAGCACCACCU
rfam:Dipodomys ordii contig_16274, whole genome shotgun sequence.